rnacentral:lncRNA from 1 species
UUUGCUACACAGAACGAAGCUUUAGAAGGGGUAAUCUAAAGUGGCCAGUUCUUUUUGACGAUUUUGAACUGCUAAUCCCAUCCAGUCAUGCCUGUCCAUCACAAAAGCAUGUAUAUUGAUUUUUGUCAGAUGACAGAAGGCUUAGAUUUUGUUGUGUUUCAAAGUUUCAUGGUGUAGCUAUCUUCAAAUCCACAUGUAUUGAAUGCUACGAAUCAGUAUAUCCGCAUUCCAUUCUGCUUGAGAUUCUCCGGUGGCUUGAACUUGAGUGGAAUAGUAUUUUUAUUUUUAUUUUAAAAAAA